AGAGUUUGAUCAUGGCUCAGGAUGAACGCUAGCUACAGGCUUAACACAUGCAAGUCGAGGGGAAACGACAUCGAAAGCUUGCUUUUGAUGGGCGUCGACCGGCGCACGGGUGAGUAACGCGUAUCCAACCUGCCCACCACUUGGGGAUAACCUUGCGAAAGUAAGACUAAUACCCAAUGACGUCUCUAGAAGACAUCUGAAGGAGAUUAAAGAUUUAUCGGUGAUGGAUGGGGAUGCGUCUGAUUAGCUUGUUGGCGGGUAACGGCCACAAGGCGACGAUCAGUAGGGGUUCUGAGGGGAAGUCCCCCANAUUGGAACUGAGACACGGUCCAAACUCCUACGGGAGCA
rnacentral:rRNA from 1 species